GUGCUACUCCCUCCGUCCAAAAUUCUUGUCUUAGAUUUGACUAGAUACGGAUGUAUCUAAUACUAAAACGUGACUUGAUAGAUUCGUAUCUAGACAAAUCUAAGACAAGAAUUUUGGGACGGAGGGGGUAUUUC
rfam:Triticum aestivum genome assembly, contig: Triticum_aestivum_CS42_TGACv1_scaffold_499360_6BL